GACGAACGCUGGCGGCGUGCUUAACACAUGCAAGUCGAACGGAAAGGCCUGCUUUCCCUUGUGGAUUGCGGGUACUCGAGUGGCGAACGGGUGAGUAACACGUGAGUGAUCUGCCCCCAACUUGGGUAUAAGCCUGGGAAACUGGGUCUAAUUCCCGAUGGUACUGCAGGGUGGUGCCUGUGGUGGAACACGACUUUCUAGUGGGUGGGGAUGAGCGCGCGGCCUAUCAGCUUGUUGGUGGGGUAAUGGACUACCAAGGCGGCGACGGGUAGCCGGCCUGAGAGGGUGGACGGUCACAUUGGGACUGAGAUACGGCCCCGACUCCUACGGGCGGCAGCAGUGGGGAAUAUUGGACAAUAGGCGGAAGCCUGAUGCAGCGACGCGGCGUGGGGGAUGACGGCCUUCGGGUUGUAAACUCCUUUCGACCGCGAGGAAGCCACCUGGUUGGAAGGGUGGUGACGGUAGUGGUAGAAGAAGCACCGGCUAACUACGUG
rnacentral:rRNA from 1 species